CAGCAGCCGCGGGAAUACGAAGGGUGCAAGCGUUAAUCGGAAUUACUGGGCGUAAAGCGUGUGUAGGUGGUUGUUUAGGUCUGUCGUGAAAGCCCUGGGCUCAACCUGGGAAUUGCGAUGGAUACUGGGCGACUAGAGUGCGGUAGAGGAUAGUGGAAUUUCCGGUGUAGCAGUGAAAUGCGUAGAGAUCGGAAGGAACAUCUGUGGCGAAGGCGACUAUCUGGGCCAACACUGACACUGAGACACGAAAGCGUGUGGAGCAAACAGGAUUAGAUACCCCGGUAGUCCCUGUCUCUUAUAC
rnacentral:rRNA from 1 species